GUCCCCUUAGUUCAGCUGGAUAGAACAAGGGCCUCCUAAGCCUUAGACACAGGUUCGAAUCCUGUAGGGGACGCCA
rnacentral:tRNA from 6 species